CCCAGAGGGGCAGGUGCCCGGCCGACUCUCAUAAGGUUGGAAUACCCGGUUCGAUUCCGGGCUCUGCUA
rnacentral:tRNA from 1 species